rnacentral:lncRNA from 1 species
GAAUUCAAGGGUCAAAAUUUCCGGUUCCUUCCAUUUGGGAGUGGAAGAAGAGGAUGCCCUGGUGCAUCCCUUGCUAUGAUGAUCAUGCAUGCUGCAGUAGGGGCCUUGGUUCAGUGCUUUGAUUGGAAAAUCAAGGAUGGGAAGGAGGUGGAUUUAACCUUAGGACCUGGCUUUGCAGCAGAAAUGGCUCAUCCACUCGUGUGCUACCCUAUUAAGCACAUGAACGCAUAUUAGGAGAGCCACCAUGGAACUCUCAUCGAUCGAUCAUUUACUUCUUUGUUUAGUAAGGUGUGCCUAUAUAUGUACUUUGAAAGUCCUUAGGUUUGGUUGUUUUAGGAACAUGCAAGUACGUACUUCCCUCUAUCAGUACCUGGGACAAAGUUAUGAUUUGAAAUAUAAAUUGAAAUAAAUUAAUGUAUGUGUAUUUUACCUUGUGCACACCUUAAUUUGUCUUAUAUCUUUGUUGUUGUAAAAUUUAAUGAUAUUGAAACUCUAACUACCAAUACUUAAUCAAUUAGAUUGAGAUAGAUAUAAGAAAAAUAAUUAUAUAUAAUUCCACAGAAAAUGAUAAAAUUAAUAUUUUCACAUAUUAAAUUUUUUUAUUUUUAUUCUCUCCUGUUUUUCUUUCUUGUUUCUCAUGUUUAUAUCCAUAAUGCUUGGUAGAAUUCCAAAUCAAUAUAUAAUUACUGCAAAGUAUUUUUUUUCAACAAAUUCGGAAACAUAAUGAGGAAAAAUAACUCAAUUUUAUGAAUUAUUUUAAAUAAAAUAAAUAGUAAUAAAAAGGAACUGAAUUUGAAGAAAAACUAAAUUGAAAGGAUUUUUUAAAAAUUUACAGGAGAGAGAAAGCAAGAAAAAAAAAUAUUAUAUAUACUAAGACAGCAUAAUUGAUAAUUUAAAUUUCUGAAUUACGUUGACCUGAUCUCAUUGUUAAAAAUAUUGUAUUAAGAACUCCUUUUUGCAAGCAAAAUUAUUGGUACUUUAUCAGCAGUUUAAUUAUCAACCCAUGCUAUAUGGCUUUGGCAAAGUAAGGGUCAAGCAAAUCCAUAAGGCCUAGCUACAGGGCAUCAAACACUGCGAGUCAAUGGCGUUGAUGUAAAGUCAAAGCUAGCUACAAGCCUAGCUUGUAGCUAGCUAGUCAACGCCUAUUCGAAUCUCGAUGACGAUGAGGGACAUAACACGUGGAUUUUUGAGUUUUUUAAGAUAUGUUUAUAUCUUGUUUAUUUUUACAUUUUAAAAAUAUAUUUUUUAAAAGUUUAUUAUUAUUUUUAUUUCAAAUUAAUUUUAUUUAGUGUUUUCAGAUCGUUUUGAUGUACUGAUAUCAAAAAUAUUUUUUUAGAACAAAAAAAAAAUUAUUUUGAUGUAUUUCCGAACAAAAAAUACUUGAAAAAACAACCGCUAUUAUACUCUUAAAUACCUAAAUUUAAAUUUCUAAUGUAAUCAUGGGGGGAUCUUGAUGAUCAACAUGAAAUAAUGAAAAUGCAUCAAACUAUUAUCACAUUGCUUUAUACAAGGGCAUUGAUCUAUCAGAUAUAUAUGCUAGCUAGAAACACUUUAUAUUUGGUUGAUCAAAGCUCGAUUGCAUGUAAAGUAAAUGAUGGGCAAUCUACCGGGAAAACAAAAUGUAAUGAUAUUGGCAAAUAUAUAGUUGUAAGUGUUUGCUUCUUGAAGUGCGUUAAUGCAUGUGAGCAUGUGCUGCACUUGCAAGUAAUUAGUACUAAUUAAUAUAAUCAUGUAAGUUUAUCAAUAUUAUAAAUAGUAAAAGUUCAAUGGUUUGAAUUGGGGGUUUGUAGACGAAAGAAUUCAUGCAAGCAAUUGUAUAUGUACAAUCUUAAGCACUAGAUUGAAAAUCACAAUAAAAACCUCUUCCAUUUGUGUAAAUGUUAUAAAACUUGCUGCUCAUGGCCACUGAUAUUGAUCAUGGUUUUGCAUAUUAUUGCUACCUUGGCAGCAGUUGGAUCGCCAUUAUCCUUGUGGUGCAACUCUUCAUCAAAACAUGCACCAGCUUUUGCACCAAGACUCGCCACCCACCAAGCCCUCCAGCCCUACCCAUCAUUGGCCAUCUUCACCUUUUAAGCUCAAGGCUACCAAGCUCCCUCAAAACACUUGCUAGCCAAUAUGGCCCCCUCAUGCUAAUACGUUUUGGAUCAACACCUAUUUUUGUUGUGUCCGAUGCCAAAACAGCCAAGGAGAUACUGAAAAUCCAUGAUGUUGAUUUUGCCUCUAAGUAUACACUCGCUUUUGGCCUCUCAAGAUUUGACAUUUAUGAUGGAUAUACUUUUUUCAAUGCCGAGUAUGGCACAUAUUGGCGGUUCAUGAAGAAGCUAUGCAUGACCAAACUAUUCGCUGGCACGCAACUGGAUCGAUUCAUCCAUAUCCGAGAGCAAGAGACGUUGAAGCUUCUAAAAUCACUGGUGGAAAGGUCAAGAGAGGGGAAGCCAUGUGAUUUAGGCGAGGAGCUUUCAGUCUUCUCGAGUAAUAUAAUUUGUAGAAUGGCAAUUGGCAAGAGAUGCAUGGAAAACCCUAAUUUACCUAUAGACAUAAGGGAGGUGGUAGGGGAUAUAAUGAAAAAUGCAGCAAAGUUUAGUUUCAAUGGAGUUUUUGGUCCUUUAAGCAGAUUUGACUUUUUAGGAAAAGGGAAAAGGCUCGUUUCAGCGACUUGGAAGUAUGACCGGCUAAUGGAGCAGCUGAUGAAGAAAUAUGAAGAAAAGGUUGAGUUGAUCAACGGUGGUGACGAAGGGGAGAAAGACGUGAUGGACAUUUUAAUGGAGACGUAUAAAGACACAAAUUCUGAAUUGAAGUUAACAAGGAGGCACAUAAAAAAAUUCUUCCUGGUGAGUUCUUUAAUCUUAAUGGUUUCGCUGAGUGCAGAGUUUUGUUAUUAUUAUUAUUUUUUUUUUUUUGAACUUUCCUAUUUAAAGUUUGAAAAAUUUAAAAAUAUUAUAUUAUUUGUUGAUUAUAUCAAAUUUAACCUUAAACUUUUGAUAUAUAUAUAUAUAUAUAUAUAUAUAUAUAUAUAUAUAUAUAUUGUUUUGAAUAUUUAUUUUUCAAUUUCAUCCCUUAGAAUUUAAUUUUUAUAUUAAUUUUGGUCCUCAUUUUUAUAAUUGUUAUUUGCUUUUCACUUAUUAUUUUUUAAUUGAAAUUUUUUAUCUAUCAAAUUUGGUCCCUAUUCUUUUGAUUGGUACUUAUUUUAUUUGGAAUAAUUUAUGAAAUGUUAAUUAUUAUUAUUUUAAUUUCUUUAUCUUUCAAUUUUUUUAUUUUUUAGAUUUGAUCUCUAUUAUUUUGAUUAUUAUUUAUUUUAUUUGAGAUAAUUUAUGAAAUUAUAUUUUUUUUUCAAUUUCAUUCUCAUUCAACUUUUUAAUUUGUAAGAUUUGUUCCUUAUUAUUUUAAUAAACUUGAAAAAAUAAAACAUUAAUAAAUUAUUUUUCAGCUCAUUUUACAUGACAUAACCAAACACUGAAAAAAAAAUAAAAUAUUAAUAAAUUAUUUUCAGCUCAUUUUCCAUGACAUAACCAAACACUGGAAAAUGUUUUCCAACUUAUUUUUCAUUACACUACCAAACAUUAGAAAAUAAUUUACUUUUUUAAAAUUUAUUUUUUAAAAUUUUUUUUUUCCAACAAACAAACAAAAAAGAAAAGAAUCAUUGCCCAAACUUUCCAGUGACCUCUCUAAUUUUGGAAAUCUACACUGACAAAUAAAGUGCUGUCUAAGUUUGUUUUUUUCUUAAUCGGCCAACCAUUAAGAGAAUAAUCAAGAUUUAAUAAUUGGCCCUCCAGUCAUCGUAGAGGACAGUCCCCGAAGAUUAAUGUCCAUAAUGAGAAAGGCGGACCACAAGAUGUCCUUUUGAUGAGAAAAGCGGACCACAAAAUGUAUCAUGCCACCUUCAGUAAUGUGCAAAGGGCGACGAAUUCCAUUUUAAGAUUUCGCAAUCAGAUUUUGGUAUAACAAAUCCCAUAUUUUUUUUAUCAAAACCCAAGAUAGCGAUCCCAUAUUUAAUUUUCAAGCCAUCCCAACAAAAUAAUAAAAGAUAUUAUUAUUAUUAAAAAAUAAUAAAAGAUAUUAAUUUAAUAUAUUUUAGUGUAUGUAUACACCGGGGAUUUAACAUCUCGCAGCUCAACUGACAUGUAUAUUUUUUUUUUGGCUGGCGAACUACAACAAAAACAAUAAUAUAUAAGAGUCAAGUGCAUGCAAUUUCUCUAUAUAAGCACAUCAUAAACUUUCAUUACUUACAAGUGUAAAACCCAAGAGAAAACCUCAAUCCAAACUAGCUAUAGCUACAACUGAUAUGUUCUAUUACCUCAUCUUCCUUCUUUGGUUUGUCACUGCGCUACUAGCACACUUCUUCAUCAAAAUAUUCUUAAGAUCCCGUAGUCAAAACAACCUCCCACCGAGCCCGCCAGCUCUACCUGUCAUUGGCCACCUACACCUAAUUGGGUCGGUCCUUGCAAAAUCUUUCCAAACCCUUGCCGUUCGUUAUGGUCCACUCAUGCAGAUUCGUCUAGGGGCAUCAACAUGUGUUGUUGCUUCUAAUGCUGUGGUGGCCAAAGAAAUAUUUAAGACCCAAGAUAUCAAUUUUUCCUCUAGACCUGAAUUUGGCUCCUCCGAAUACUUCAUUUAUAGAGGAUCAAGAUUCGUCACUGCCCAAUAUGGUGAUUAUUGGCGGUUCAUGAAAAAACUAUGCAUGACAAGGCUCCUUUCUGUCCCUCAACUUGAGAAAUUCACCGACAUCCUUGAUGAAGAGAAGGUCAAGCUUGUCGAAUCGGUGAUGGGGUGUGCUAGGGAAGGGAAAUUGUGUGAUUUAAGUAGUGAGUUUACAGCCUUGACAAACAAUAGUAUUUGUAGGAUGACAAUGAGCACACGAUGCUCAGGCAGUAAUAAUGAUGCUGAUCAGAUUAAGCGGUUGGUUAAGACAUGUUUACAGCUUGCAGGAAAGUUAAGUUUAGGGGAUGUUUUGGGUCCUUUCAAGAUUUUUGACUUCUCUGGGAAUGGGAAAAAGCUAGUUGGUGCACUACAAGCCUAUGAUAGGUUAGUGGAGAGGAUACUCAAGGAGCAUGAAGAGAAGGCAAAUAAAGGUUUUGAGGAAGGGGAGAGGAGGGAUUUGAUGGACAUAUUGUUGGAGAUAUAUAAUGAUCCAACUGCUGAAAUUAAAGUAUCUAAAAAUGACAUCAAGUCCUUCUUGCUUGUAAGUUCCUUCUCUUUACCUUCUACGAAUACAUGUGGCUCUCUUGUAUAUUUCUUCAAUUAUUGGCAUUGCUAACAUCUACAAUAUGUGCUUAAUUAGGACUUAUUCUUUGCCGGGACAGACACAUCAGCAACAGCCAUGCAAUGGGCUAUGGGAGAGCUCAUCAACAAUCCCAAGGCAUUCAAGAGGCUUAGAGAUGAGAUCAACACAGUUGUUGGGCCUAAUAGACUUGUUAAGGAAUCAGAUGUCCCAAACCUCCCUUACCUUAAAGCAGUCAUGAGAGAAACACUAAGACUUCACCCUUCAGCACCUUUAAUCAUCAGAGAAUGCGCUGAAGAUUGCAAGGUCAACGGCUCUGUCGUUAAGGCCAAGACAAGAGUUCUUGUCAAUGUCUAUGCAGUCAUGAGGGACCCGGAAUCAUGGGCUAAUCCCGACGAAUUCAUGCCUGAAAGGUUUUUGGAGAGCUCCGAGGAGAAAAUUGGCGAGCAUCAGAUGGAAUUCAAGGGUCAAAAUUUCCGGUUCCUUCCAUUUGGGAGUGGAAGAAGAGGAUGCCCUGGUGCAUCCCUUGCUAUGAUGAUCAUGCAUGCUGCAGUAGGGGCCUUGGUUCAGUGCUUUGAUUGGAAAAUCAAGGAUGGGAAGGAGGUGGAUUUAACCUUAGGACCUGGCUUUGCAGCAGAAAUGGCUCAUCCACUCGUGUGCUACCCUAUUAAGCACAUGAACGCAUAUUAGGAGAGCCACCAUGGAACUCUCAUC